GACGCCUUGUCCUGACCGGACGCCGAGUGCACGAUAGCGAAGGAUGUACGUGCAAGGUCCAUGCAUAGGCACAUGUGAGACGCGUACGUCCACAACGGCGACGAUACACGAGGGCACUGUCACGUCAUGUAAUGGAUUUGGCGACGAGGGACGCCGCCUUCAGCUCGACCAUCUCGAGGAGCCACCGACAACGAAGAGCGAGCACGUGCAGGAGUUAGCGGAGUUGGGCUUCGCGAUGGGUGUAAUGGAGUAAAAGCCAGAAGUGUGGUGGCGAGUUCUGUGUUGUCCUUCCCGGCGCCAGCUCGACGACAUCGACGGUGGGCGGCGUCAUGGCGUGCUCCAUGUCGUCGUCUUCCGCGGCUCCGGCUUGACGACCUCGACGGUGGGCAGCGUCGUGGCGUGCUCCAUGUCGUCGUCUUCCGCGGCUCCGGCUUGACGACGUCGACGGUGGGCGGCGUCGUGGCAUGCUCCAUGUCGUCAUCUUCCGCGGUUCCGGCUUGACGACAUCGACGGUGGGCGGCGUCGUGGCGUGCUCCAUGUCGUCGUCUUCCGUGACUCCGGCUUGACGACAUCGACGGUGGGUGGCGUCGUGGCAUACUCCAUGUCGUCGUCUUCCGCGGAUCCAGCUUGACGACAUCGACGGUGGGUGGCG
rnacentral:lncRNA from 1 species